UCUUGUCCCUCCUUUCCUCCCUCCCUCCUUUCCUUCCUCCCUACAUUUCUUUGCUCUAUGCUCCUCUGGAAACCAGUAAUUUUGCUGUUCGGUGUCAAAGGAUUUUAUCCUGGACGUUUGCACCUGCGUGUGUAUUAUGCCUGACUUGGCAAAGCUGACUACAGAGCGUGAAAGUAAUCUUUUUAAUGAGACUUUCCUGAUGGGGUUCAGCACAAAUGAAACUAGCAGAAACGUGAUGGAUGCUUUGGCAGAACUUUUGUCCUGGAAGUGAUUAGGUAGCUGUGUGUACAGAACUCCACAGUUCCGGUUGGACUCCGAGGACACGGGAAAAAAGGUGUUCUAAAUAAAUAAAUAAAACUCUGAGUUUUGGAUUCUGGAGGCUCUGUCUCUGGGGAGACAGGACUUUAUGAUGCUCUUUUUAAAGGUAUGUCCUCUGCUAAACUCUGGGUCCUUCCAGGAACAGGUUCAUUUAUGCUGCGAUCGGAUGACACUUUAAUUGCACACAGCUAAACUCCAUUCAGCUUAUUGUAUGACUUCUGAAGAUAACUGGUUGCACCACAUUUAAUUAAGAGGUUUCACAAUAAUGGUGGGGGUGAAAACAUAAUCACGACUUUUAUAUUUUUUUACUUCUGUAAUUCUGCAAAUUAGAACAAUAUCGGUAUCAAUAAUAUGUCGAUAUAAUGGGUUAUGAGUUAUGUGUUGAUUGGCCGGCAUCAUCUGAUCUGGAUAUUAGAAUCGGCGCAGGUUUUCUGCCAGAUGCCUCUCCUGUUGCAAUCCUCUCAUUUUUAAUCCAAGCUUGAGACCGGAGCACUGGCUUGUGCAACCGUCAGUGAGAGUCAUUUGGGAUCCGAACCACCAAGUGAUUCACGUAGUUUAAUCCCAAUAAAAUCUAUUUCAUUUCAGGUCUGUAACACUACCGACCGUGGAAAAGUAGGAGGGGGGGAAUACUUAUGCAUGACACAGGACGAGACCGCAGGGCUGCAUGCGAAGGGCUUAUUAGCUACGUAUAAACUAAGCUCAAAUUUCAAAAUGGCAGAAAUGGAGAUAACAUCCGUCCCAGUUCCUCAACUUUGGCCUGAGGGUUUAAAUACAAUUUGUCUAUUUGGCCUCUGUGGUUCCAAUACAAUUUGUUCCAGCUGUUUGCCUUUUAUUAUACACACACAUGCUACAGGGUCCGAGUUUCUUUGUAUUUGUUAAUUUUUUAUUCUACCUGUUGGUUCCCCUCCCAGUGCUUCCGGCAGUCUUCUGUCACUCAGUGUUACCACACUAGUUAAAUUACAGAGGUCAUAUUUUAGGAGUGGAUGACAGCUCAACUUGAUGUCUGAUUGAAAAAAAAAAAAAAGUCGUGAACGAAGUACAUUUCCUAGACUAAAAGUGUGUGGGUGCGUGCGAACUGCAUACACCCAUGGUUACACACAGUCCUUGUCAACUAGAAGAACAGGUUGGGCAGCUGGAGAUAAAGGGGGUGAGCAGGAAGCGAGGAUGUGUCGUGUGUUUAACCUUAUGAGGCAAGCUAAGCCAAUACAUACAACCAUCAUUAACACUCCCUUACCUCACGCUCACACUCACGCAUGAUGCAUGGAAGCUAAUAAAAAAAAAAAAGCCCUAUUGUGACAAUAACAGGUUUUAAAAAAUUAUCGGGCUAAAUGAAACGCUUUGAGCAUUUGUUUGAUUCUGUUACUAAAUUCUUGUGACUAUGCCGUGCUGCGUAUUUGCAGAACACACAGACUUUCGACCCAUUUGGAGGACAUCACACGGGCGUGCAGAUGAAGACAGAUGGCGAUAUCAGGCGAGGAAGAUUACGAGAGAGGCAGAAAGAGGGAGAACGAACGAGAGAGGGUGGGGGGGCUAGUUAAUAAUUUGUCUGUGGCUGUAGUAAGACUGGCCAGCACACUAACAAGGGGCCUAGUGUUCUUUGGGGACCGCUGAUGAAGAUUAGAGCGAGGCUGAUCCAGCCGUUGUCAGAGGAGAGAAGUUAGGAAGCACUCUAUAAAAUGUUAAUGGACUUCUGUGAGGAUGCAUGAGUGAAAGAGUUUGCUUCAGCCAUCUGUGUAGUUCGACACUCGGUCUGACAGGUUUAAAAUCAACCAAGAAAAGAGACACGUGCUGAAUUCAUUAAAAAUGUGGCUGUGCAACUUACAUUUGAUCUCAUACUCUAGCGUGAGGCAGAAGCUUUACGGCUAGCUGAAGUUAAUAUGCAGAAAUUACGCAAAAUUAUAGUAUGCACUUAAGAAGUGGGCUACAUAACAUGAGUAAUGAUUUGAAAAUGGCCUGUUCUGUGAAAUCAGGUACAUUUAUCUGUACUAUCAGCUGUACAAACAUGUCCUGACUACACGGCGUACCCGUCCACUGACCCGAAGGCCAUCGACAUCCACCCACGCACAGAUCUACCAGUUGUGAUGCAGCAACAUUGCAAGGCCAGCCACCAUCCAAAAUGUGCUAAACCCUAAACUGCUCAUCAGAAGGCUAGUAAAGGUAGUAAAGAUGUUAGGAUUCUGUGCACAAUGGUUAAAAAAAGUAAAAAAAUCUGCAGUAAUGCAUCCUUUCUUUUACAGCGGGGUAAAAGGUUCAUCAUACAACAAAUAUCCGCCAUCUAGUGGUAGCAUAGCGGAAUGUCAACAUGAAAAUUCAAAUCUGUACAUGCACUCUGAUGUGUGUGUGUGUGUGUGUGUGUGUGUGUGUGUGUGUGUGUGUGUGUGUGUGUGUGUGUGUGUGUGUGUGUGUGUGUGUGUGUGUGUGUGUGUCUUAUGGAGCUUUUGAUAAAGUAAGACUUGCUGCAUGCGUUUAACAUUCCGACAAGGGGGAAAAAACUGAUCAUAAUCUGCAUGUUGCAAUGCCACUUCAUCAAAAAAAGGUGCACACAUGCUUGCUCAGGC